CGAAAAAUUCAUCUCGUGUUCGGCUCGUUAAUAACGAACCGAACAUGAGUUGGCUCGCGAGCUGACCAACAAAUAAUAAAUUAAAUAAAUUAGAUUGAAUAUAUAUAAAAAAUAAAUUUAUAAAAUCUUACCCAUUAGACUUUAAUCUAAUGGUCGAAACUUUACAUAUAAAUGAGUCUUUUUAUAAUUGAGUUCCGCUUUAUUUAUUUUUUGGUUAAAAAAUCAAAUAAUAAAAACAUAUAUAUUAUGUAUAAAUUAUUUAUUUAUAUAUAUAAAUAUAUAGAAAUAUAAAUUAAAUAAACUAUAUAAAUAUAAAAUAUAUGUAUUCGAGCUAUUAUUGAGCUGAACACGAGCGAGCUGACCCCAGCUCGUGUUCGGCUCGUUUAUUAAACGAGCUGAAAAACUUAGCUCGUGUUCAGCUAGUUUACUAAAUGAGCGAUUCGAUUUCAAGAUCAUUUCAAGCUGAACACGAGCUGGUUCGUGAAUAGCAAGCUAGAUUGCUACCCCUAGCCUACAUGCAACACAUUUUGCCUACAAUCUUAAAAAUACCUUACUUGAUUCCAGAAAAAGUUUUAUUCAACACAUUGAUAUAUUGAAAGAUUAUUUUAUAAUUCUUCACAAUUAUUUUGAGAUUGGUCGGUCAUUGGCAAACGAAUAAUUAAAAUUAGAUAAAAAGGUUAUCUCAAUCCUAACAAAACAUUAUAUAUAUGAUUCAAACUUUCUCAAAUUAACUUUGCAAUUUGAGGCUGAUAUGAAGUAUAAUGAAAAAUGACUAUCGCCUUUUUUGG
rnacentral:lncRNA from 1 species